AUGUGCAGAAGCUGCAUACAGGAGGCAAAUGAUCAGCGACACUGUCCUGUUUACGUAAACCUCCAGAUAUACUGCUCAAUUAGGAAACGCACAGUCUUCUUAAGCCUUUUCAAAUAAUUUACUGCUGUGUUCGAUGGCUGUAUACUGUAUGUGACAAUACAAUACUGAUGUGUGUAAAACUGGCACUGUAUUCAUAGCAACAUAGUGAGUGUAAUAGGAGUACUUUCAAUGUCAGUAUAAAAAUAUCGGCUCUCUGUUUAGAAGACAUGAGUAGACUGAAGGAGCAGCUUGGAUUGAAGCUUUAAAUAUGUGAAUGUUGCUUUUGUGUUUGGAAUAUUAAGUACACAAGCACAAAUAAUUACAGGAAAGUACAGACGUGCACAUUUAUCCACACUGUCGGUAAAUCACUGCUUUCAAGGAGCGCUGCUGUCAUUAAAACAACUCACUGGCUGCAUUCUGAUGUCACUUUUCUACGUCUUUAGAGGUUCAAUUCAACAAGUCAAAUUUCAGGCAAAUGACUGAAACAACAAAGAUCAUUUUGAAUAAUAAUUUAAAUAGUUCAUCAAUAAAACUACUGAGCAUUUAAGGGUUAAGGCUGGAUGUCUUAUGAUUUCAGUUUUGGCCACAGACUGUGUAUAAAGACGGAUGUAGCCACAGUAACGUCACACAUGGGUUUGAGAACUACUGUUUUUGGCAUUUGGCUGUUGUCCUGUUGUGUUUUUGAAAUACAGUGCAGCAGCAACUUUACAGUCACACUCUGAAGCACAUCCUGCUUUAUCAUCAUUUUACUCAAAAUGGGACCAUAAAAAAUAUUGUGCUGAAGGUGACUUGAGCUAGCAAUUGAGAGAAUAAAUCACUACUUAACUGAGACGAUAAAUGAAAUGAGAAGUAAUAGCUGCAUGUCAUAUAUUUGUCAAGCGAAUUUACGGUAAACUAUGCCUGUUUGCUUUAUUGGCUUUGAAGCAAAUAAACUAGACUGCAUACAGUCGUCAGAAGGUGGCGCUAUAGUCUAUGUUGCGCAGGCUGUAAUGAACAGAACAGAGAAAGCUGCCAAACUUAGUUGUUUACCAACCACCUAAAAACCUUAAAGAACACAAACAAACAAACAAAUGUUGAGUCAUCUAUCAGAGCGAAAUGGAGAGAAGUCUUUAGGAAUUGUUUUAAAUCAAGCAAAGUUGUAGAUAUUUUUUCGUGUUAGCUGAUAUCGGCCACGUUUCAUGCUAUCCAAAGAUGAACAACGAAUGAACAGAUGGGCAACAAAAGAAGAAGAUAAAUGUUUGCUAUAUCACAAAUAUUUCCUAAAUGCGUUCAAAUCUCCAAUGAAGCGCAUUAAAGACCAAAAAACACUUUAAGUGAGCGCGCAAACAUUUUGUAAAGUUAGUGACGUUUUAAAUUUUGUUAUCUCCAAUAACUUUUUGUAAUGUAUCAAGAAUAUGUAAUGCAAACACGGUUAUUUUCUUCUUCACUUCUGCACAAUCUGGUGUCUUUUUACAACCAGAGGAGUCGCCCCCUGCUGGCCACCAGGCAGAACGCAGGUUUAAGGCACUUCUGCAUUGGCUUUACUUUUCAGACUCAGAGGCCACAUCCAUCUAUUACAUACAAUCUGUGGUUUCAGCUGAUUUUUUUCUGGUGUAGCAGCAAGUCUAAGAUAUCAAAAUGUAUUAGUCGCUGGGGGGCAACAAACAUGCUCUGAGUGGAUAAUAGAGGAAGAAAAACUACUUUGUCAAUUUUGGAGUGUUUAAUGGAAUUCAAAUUAACUCAAUAUCAAUUUUUAAUUAAGUUAACUAAUUGUAUCACGUCCAACAUGUUUAUGCAUAACUUCCUAUGAAUCCGUUGUGCGUUGAUAUUCAAAGGCUCCCUGUGGGGGUUUUGACCUUUGAAAAGCAGGAAAAAAAUAAGACCGGUAGUGAAUAAACGUGGAACGAUGCUGAAUUUAAAAUGCCUGAGAAUGCUGGCUUGGCAAAUGUGUUAUGAGAAAGGAAGUAAAUGCAUUCAACACAUUAUUUAGGCUUUGAGGAUGUGCUUAGGUUACUGAAAUGGGAUGUAAACACAAUGCAUGACUGUUUGAAAACUCCACAGGACACCUUCAAUCUGUAUUCUAUGUGGGAAAGGCAGAACCUGCCAGGAACAAUCAAAACGCAUUUCCAGAAUACAAAUUCAGUGAUUUUUCGAAAAGACCUGAAUUGUGCUUGAUAUAAUGAGGCCUUUAGGGAUUGAAGCUUUCAGAAGGUGUCCAGCUUUUUGUUAUUCUUUCUUUUCUAUAUCACCAAUUGUUGAUUUUUUCUGUCUCUCAGAAGGACUAGGCAAAAAACUACUGAGCUGAUUUUCAUGAUACUUGGGGAAGACAUGGAGCAUGAGCCAAGGAAGGACCCAUUUAAUUGUCCUCUCCACUGUUGCCAAGUCCUUGCUCAAACAGAACCUUUGGAUGAGUUUUUUGGAUGCUUCUAGAUCGAAUCUGUGGCUUUGCUCGUUUCAGUGGGACUCAGGCUGCUCAUUUUUCCACCCUUGCGACAAACUGUUUCACAGUAUCACCAGUAAAAUCCCCUUUAAAUGUCAAGGCAGCCAUUUAGAAAAGAAAGCAGGUAACAGUGGGAGCACAAUCUGCACUUUUUUCCGCUCUGCUCGCAUGUUUGAUAUCGAUUCAGGAACAUUUACAUGGGAAGUUUCACAUUGACUUUUCUGAAUGAUUUUUUAGAAUAAACAUACACAAUUAAGUGAUCGAUGUGUCACGUCAAUCGUCAAAAACAAACAAUAAA